rnacentral:rRNA from 1 species
UCUUACCUACGGGGGGCAGCAGUGAGGAAUAUUGGUCAAUGGGCGAGAGCCUGAACCAGCCAAGUCGCGUGAGGGAGUACUGCCCUAUGGGUUGUAAACCUCUUUUGUCGGGGAGCAAAAGCCGGACGUGUCCGGCUGUGAGAGUACCCGAAGAAAAAGCAUCGGCUAACUCCGUGCCAGCAGCCGCGGUAAUACGGAGGAUGCGAGCGUUAUCCGGAUUUAUUGGGUUUAAAGGGAGCGUAGAUGGGUUGUUAGGUCAGUUGUGAAAGUUUGCGGCUCAACCGUA